CCUGUGCUGGCAAGACCGUAUCUGGAGCUUCUUCUGUGGCUUAGAUAUUUAGAGUCAUUUCUCAUUUGGAAAAUAAUUUUUGAAAUCUACUUUUAAAGCAAUGAUGAAAAUAAUUAGCAUUCAUAUUCAUAAUUUGCAAUCAACUCAGGCUUUGGAAUGAUUAUCUACUUAGUUAUGAUCAGGUAGAAGUCUUUUAUCUUCCACUGGCAUGUAAAGAGCCAGGGCUGUUGUCUGUUUCCUUAUUUGUCUUCUUUCUAAAGUGAUUUGGACUCUGCUACAGUGGUUAGUGUUUGGCUCAAUCUUUAUAUCCUGGAUGUAGAGUUGAUUGGCUGGGCGAUUUUUGCAGAUAUGUUUUGGAGAGGCAUAGCCAUGUUCAUCUGUUUUUGCAAUAUCAUAGGAAUUCUACAAAUUGUUAAGAUAAUAUUUGUGACUGCUCAUUCAAUUUGAUAACUUUCACUCUUGGGAAUUAGUAAAGAAAAAGGCCCCUUACACCUUCUGGAAUGAGCAUUCAGAAAAAAUUUACUAUUCAUUGGAACAGGAUAUUAGGCUCAAUAUAUGACUGCAGUGAGAAACCUAAUCAAAUGAUAAUGUCAUUUUGUAAUAAGGUUGACUUUCUCUCAGGAUUGACUAUUAAUCUGCUAAAAAAAAAAUGGCUUUGUCGUAUAGUGAUAAAGUUGUUGUAUUUUAGUUGCUCUUCAUCUUUGGGUAUAAAAUUUUAUAGCCAUCACAUAUUUCAAACUAAUAAAAUUGAAAAUAUU
rnacentral:lncRNA from 1 species